GGCGAGGCCCGCGGGCGCUGAGAGGCCUGCGGGCGGAGGCGGGCCCGGCGCGCGGGGCGCGGGGCAGAGGCCUCCGGGGGCAGAGGCGGCGGUGCGGGUAGUGGAGCCGCCCCCGGGGCGGGCCCGGAGCGGUCGGCGCGGCGUUGGCUGCCCUUCCCAGGGUCAUGUGGAACAGCAUCGCCCUGUGCUCCGUUUGCAAGCCUUCCCCUAACACGGUGUCAUUACUGCUGCCAAGACUCCUACCCUUAACUCAUAUCUUCAGAAGAAUGUGUAAGGGCUUCAGCAGUAAGCGGUUGAUGCAGAUAGCACAGAACAGGGCAUGCAGCACGCUGCCCGGCCGCUUAGCGGGUAGCAAAGCAAAACGCAGCCGGUGUGCACAGCAUUACCCGCUGUUAGAUGGACGCGUCCUGUCUGUGCACCGACACGUGUUUGAAGAGAAUUUCAGGAACAGCGAGGCGGUUAUUAAAAGAUACUCGGAGUUGCUCCAGGUGGUCAGUAAAGGAGGGGGAGAGAAUGCCAUCUUGCGUCACACUCAGAGAAACAAGAAGCUGUUUGUCCGGGAGCGCCUGAAGCUGCUUCUUGAUGAUGAGUCUUUCCUCGAGCUGUCUCCCCUGGCAGGCCUCAGUAUGCCAUAUGGUGACGUCCCGGCUGCUGGGUGCCUUACUGGAAUUGGGAAGAUCUGUGGGAUUUGGUGUGUCUUUGUAGCAAAUGAUGCAACUGUAAAAGGAGGAACUAUUUAUCCAAUUGGAGUGAAGAAACAGCUGAGAGCUCAGGAGAUAGCCAUGCAGAACAGGCUGGUGUCCGUGUACCUUGUUGACAGCGGGGGAGCAUUCCUGCCACUACAGUCAGAGCUGUUUCCUGACAAGUUGCAUGGUGGACGAAUUUUCUACAAUGAAGCAAUAAUAUCUGCUAUGAAAAUCCCUCAGGUGGCAGUGGUGUGUGGCUCCUGCGUAGCUGGGGGUGCCUAUGUCCCAACCAUGGCCGAAGAAGCUGUGAUUGUAGAUAAAAUUGGUACGCUGUUCCUUGCUGGCCCACCUCUGGUGAGAGCUGCUACUGGAGAGUAUGUUUCUCCAGAGGACCUAGGAGGAGCUACACUUCACUCUAGAGUCAGUGGCUGCAGUGACCAUUUUGCAUCUUCAGAAAAGGAAGCCUAUGAGUGUGUUCGAAAUAUUAUCUCAACGUUGAAUUAUGAGCCUGUGCCAGAAGAGCUCGUGGAGCAUGACCAUCCUCUCUAUAGCUCUGAUGAGCUCUUGGGGCUGGCCCCACAAGAUUAUAGGUGUACUCUUCCUGUAAAAUUGGUUCUGAGCCGCCUGCUGGAUGGAAGCAGGUUCCAGGAGUUCAAGGCUGACUAUGGAACAACAUUAGUAACAGGAUUUGGCCACGUGGAAGGGCACUUGGUGGGAGUAGUGGCUAACAAUGGGGAGCUUUCUCAUGAUGCUGCUCUCAAGGGCAGCCAUUUCGUGCAGCUGUGCAGUCACCGGGCCAUUCCCAUCCUCUUUUUCCAAAAUACUGCUCCACAUGCAGCAGAGCCAACAAGCAUCUCACAGGCUGAGGCUCAGGCCAACAGAUUGAAAGCCCAGGCCUCCAUGAUGGCUGCUGUUGCUUGUGCAGCUGUUCCCAAAAUAACCAUAGUGAUCGGCGGCUGUUUUGGGAGCGAAAGUUACGCGAUGUGUGGGAGAUCAUUCAGUCCGAACUUUCUGUUCUUGUGGCCUAAUGCAAGAGUUGCUCUUGUGGAUUCAAGACAUUUGUCCGUGGUCCCACAAGCUGGAGACAGUGGUUGUACAGAUGAAUCCGAGCUAAAACAUCUGAAACAAAAGCUAGAGGAAGAAAGCAGUGCAUUUUAUUCUUCUGCCAGACUCUGGGAUGAUGGUGUAAUUCUCCCUCAGAAUACCAGAAAGGUAAUUGCACAGUGCUUACAGAUUAUAGAGCAGCAGAAGUACCAGGUGCUACCUCCUUACCAGUAUCCUGUGAUGAGAAUGUAACUGCAGCCCUUCACAAGUGAUCACCCUUUGAAGUUAGCACUGCAAAUUGGAAAGCUUUAAUAAUAUGCAGAACUCAAACAGCACUUUAAGAAAAGAAAUGGGAAAGAGGAGACACGCAUGCCUGAAAACUAGACAGGAGUAAUGCGUGUAAGUUUUAGUAAAGCACAGAAUGCUGCCUGCAAGGUCAGAUUGCCAGAGCACCGUGGAAGGGCUCCCCUCAGCUUCCUCUGAGGAUACCAGUGCAGUGACCAGGAGGUGAGUUCAAUCCAGAUCACCCCCAUAGGAUAAAAUUAACCUCUUCUCAAAGCGUGCAACAGCAAUAGCACAUUGACUUCUACAUAGUGUUACCGUGCCUACAGGGUCCAAGGUUACACUGUGCUGUUUCACACGUGUUUCUCUCUGUUGCAGCUGCAAGAUUUAAUUUUGUAAAAGAAAGCUGCUCUUAUUUUAACUGUAUGGUUUGAUGUAUUGUAAAUCUCGAAAUUAGGCCACGGAGUACAUUUGAGAAAUAUCUGGGUAAGUAUUUUGGGAAAUAAGCAACAAAACUGAAAUUCUCUGUCUUAAUUAGGGCAGCGAGGCACCUGUGGGUGCCCAAUCCCACAGAUGGGGCACUGGGAAGCCCGUGGCAGGGGUUUGGAACUGGAAGGGCUCUAAGGUCCCUUCCAACCUAAGUUCAUAGUACUACAGAAUGGCUAAGUACUCAUACAAAUAAAUGACCUAAAUUCCUUCAGUGUCACUUUCUGCGCGCUUGCAAAUGGAGACUGCAUCUUUUCAAAGCUGGAAGAAGCCUAACACGGACGUUGCAGGCAGCGGUCACGCUCUUUUGAAGAGUCCAUGGAAAGUCACAGGGAUGUUCACCUCCACUUCAGCCCUGGCCACUUCGCUCAUGUCCUUGGCGUUCAGGAUCAGGAGGUAGGCAGGCUUCGGCCCGGAGCCGGGGCUGAUCACAAUGCUCAGCACCACCCCUGGGAGGUGAUAAAAACAAGCACUCAGCACAGCCAGGGGCUCUCCUGGCUUCCCGUGAUCCUGCUCUGGGAUGAAGAAUUCAGGGAAUGAGUGGGUGCCCUAUAAACCUAGUGCUGCCACCUUCAAAAAUAGGUGCAGGGCUGGGAAUGUGUGAAUAAAUGUGGACAGUGCUUGGCAUGAAUACAACUUCGUGUCCUCCACAGCCAAAGCCUGAAUUCACCCCCCUCCUUUGUGGGGAGGAGGGGUCUACAAAUAAAAACAUACUUGGCUUAAGACAGGUUUAAUUUCAUGAA